rnacentral:rRNA from 1 species
GUGGGGCCUGCUCGGUGAGAAGAAAAAUUUAACAGCUGCGGUAUUAUAACUGUACUAAGGUAGCAUAAUAAUUUGCCUUAUAAAUUAAGGAUAGAAAGAAUGGUUUGACGAAAAUUAGACUGUCUUUAUUUUAUUUGUUAGAAAUUAAUUUUUAUAGUGAAAAAGCUUGAAUAAUUUAAGGGGACGAGAAGACCCUAUUGAGCUUUAUUUAUUAAUAUUUAAAUAUAAAUAUAUAAUUUAUAUUAUGAAAAUUAUGUUGUAUAUAUAUAUAUAUAUAUAUUUAAUUGGAUUUAAUUUUGAUUGGGGUGAUCAAGGAAUAAAGAUAAAGUAACUUCCUUAAAAUUAAUGAUUGUUUUUAUAGAGUAAUAAACCAAGUUUUUUGCUUAUAAGAUAAGUUACCAUAGGGGUAACAGCGUAAUUUUUUUUGAGAGUUCAUAUUGAAAAAAGAGAUUGCGACCUCGAUGUUGGAUUAAAAAUUACCUUAAGG